AUUGAACGCUGGCGGCAGGCUUAACACAUGCAAGUCGAGCGGAGAUGAGGUGCUUGCACCUAAUCUUAGCGGCGGACGGGUGAGUAAUGCUUAGGAAUCUGCCUAUUAGUGGGGGACAACAUUCCGAAAGGAAUGCUAAUACCGCAUACGUCCUACGGGAGAAAGCAGGGGAUCUUCGGACCUUGCGCUAAUAGAUGAGCCUAAGUCGGAUUAGCUAGUUGGUGGGGUAAAGGCCUACCAAGGCGACGAUCUGUAGCGGGUCUGAGAGGAUGAUCGGCCACACUGGGACUGGGACACGGCCCAGACUCCUACGGGAGGCAGCAGUGGGGAAUAUUGGACAAUGGGGGGAACCCUGAUCCAGCCAUGCCGCGUGUGUGAAGAAGGCCUUAUGGUUGUAAAGCACUUUAAGCGAGGAGGAGGCUACUGAGACUAAUACUCUUGGAUAGUGGACGUUACUCGCAGAAUAAGCACCGGCUAACUCUGUGCCAGCCGCCGCCGUAAGAC
rnacentral:rRNA from 1 species